rnacentral:rRNA from 1 species
GAUGAACGCUGGCGGCGUGCCUAAUACAUGCAAGUCGAGCGAACAGACGAGGAGCUUGCUCCUCUGACGUUAGCGGCGGACGGGUGAGUAACACGUGGAUAACCUACCUAUAAGACUGGGAUAACUUCGGGAAACCGGAGCUAAUACCGGAUAAUAUAUUGAACCGCAUGGUUCAAUAGUGAAAGACGGUUUUGCUGUCACUUAUAGAUGGAUCCGCGCCGCAUUAGCUAGUUGGUAAGGUAACGGCUUACCAAGGCAACGAUGCGUAGCCGACCUGAGAGGGUGAUCGGCCACACUGGAACUGAGACACGGUCCAGACUCCUACGGGAGGCAGCAGUAGGGAAUCUUCCGCAAUGGGCGAAAGCUUGAAGGGGCAACGCCGCGUGAGUGAUGAAGGUCUUCGGAUCGUAAAACUCUGUUAUUAGGGAAGAACAAAUGUGUAAGUAACUAUGCACGUCUUGACGGUACCUAAUCAGAAAGCCACGGCUAACUACGUG